GUAAAGACAAAGAAUCUCCCAAUUUAUCCCUCCCCUUCUGGUAGGCUGCAGUCCAUGGGGUCGCUAGGAGUCGGACACGACUGAGCAACUUCACUUUCACUUUUCACUUUCCUGCGUUGGAGAAGGAAAUGGCAACCCACUCCAGUGUUCUUGCCUGGAGAAUCCCAGGGACGGGGGAGCCUGGUGGGCUGCCGUCUAUGGGGUCACACAGAGUCAGACACGACUGAAGUGACUUAGCAGCAGCAGCAGCAGCUCCCAUUCCCACCCCUCCGGAUAAGAACAGGGAGGAUCAGAGACAAUCUAAGUCACCCAAGGUCAAAGUCAUAUCCCAGGUCACCGGCAAAGGCGGUGGACAAUUCCGGUCGUCUGGGGCAGGACCUGCUCUCUUUUCUAACACCAGGCCUCAGGCCAUCUACAGUAGUUCUCAGCAUCUCAUGAUGCAGGUAACAUUCCACCUUUCAGGAAAGGACAGGUAGGUGCCCUGAAAAUGGCGAAGGCCUGACCACUGUGCUUGAC
rnacentral:lncRNA from 1 species